rnacentral:rRNA from 1 species
AGAGUUUGAUUAUGGCUCAGGAUGAACGCUGACAGAAUGCUUAACACAUGCAAGUCUACUUGAUCCUUCGGGUGAAGGUGGCGGACGGGUGAGUAACGCGUAAAGAACUUGCCUUACAGACUGGGACAACAUUUGGAAACGAAUGCUAAUACCGGAUAUUAUGAUUGGGUCGCAUGAUCUGGUUAUGAAAGCUAUAUGCGCUGUGAGAGAGCUUUGCGUCCCAUUAGUUAGUUGGUGAGGUAACGGCUCACCAAGACGAUGAUGGGUAGCCGGCCUGAGAGGGUGAACGGCCACAAGGGGACUGAGACACGGCCCUUACUCCUACGGGAGGCAGCAGUGGGGAAUAUUGGACAAUGGACCAAAAGUCUGAUCCAGCAAAUUCUGUGUGCACGAUGAAGUUUUUCGGAAUGUAAAGUGCUUUCAGUUGGGAAGAAGUCAGUGACGGUACCAACAGAAGAAGCGACGGCUAAAUACGUGCCAGCCGCUGC